ACUGAACGCUGGCGGCAGGCCUAACACAUGCAAGUCGAACGAGUGGCGGAAGGGUGAGUAAUGUCUGGGAAACUGCCUGCUGUAGGGGGAUAACUACUGGAAACGGUAGCUAAUAACGCAUACCAUCAGAUGUGCCCCGAUGGGAUUAGCUUGUUGGGGGGUGAACGGGUCACCAAGGCGACGAUCCCAAGCUGGUCUGCGAGGAUGACCAGCCACACUGGAACGGAGACACGGUCCAGACUCCUACGGUAGGCAGGAGUGGGGAAUAUUGGACAAUGGGCGCAAGCCUGAUGCAGCCAUGCCGCGUGUAUGAAGAAGGCCUUCGGGUUGUAAAGUACUUUCAGCGGGGAGGCGUUACCCGCAGAAGAAGCACCGGCUAACUCCGUGCCAGCAGCCGCGGUAAUUC
rnacentral:rRNA from 1 species